GUAGGUGAACCUGCGGUUGGAUCAUUAACAAAAAAAUUGGAAGGCUUUUUUGGAUACUCUCCAGAAAAGCCUUUUAAAACACCAAUUGUGAACUUGUAUUAUUGUUUCUUUUCUGUGGUUAUUCUCAUAUAUGACUGGUUCACGCUAGUUUUUGUGGGGAUGCCCAGAAAAAACUUUUUUAAACUUAAAAGAUUAUACCAUUUUGACCAUUAAAUAAAAGUUUGAAAUUUUUUUUAAACAUUAAAUAAAUUAAAAAAACAACUUUUGGCAACGGAUCUCUAGGCUCUU
rnacentral:misc_RNA from 1 species